GACGAACCUCUGGUUUACCAGUUAUCCUGCCAAGGGUAAGUGCUGGGUAUCUAAGUCCGGAAGGGAUAACCGCUGAAAGCAUCUAAGCGGGAAGCCCACCUCAAGAUUAGACUUCCCUGGGACUUUAAGUUCCCUGAAGACUCCUGGGAGACUACCAGGUUGAUAGGAUGCAGGUGUAAGCAGUGCGAGCUGUUCAGCCGAGCAUUACUAAUAAGUCGUGAGGCUUGACCAU
rnacentral:rRNA from 1 species